rnacentral:piRNA from 1 species
UUCCCAUUACCUAUGCCUUGUAUCCGCGGC